GGGCCGGUAAUUCAACCCGGUUUCAUAUGGCCUGAAGCUAUAUGACGGGAGAGAAUACUCCCUUGGCUAGGGAGAUAUCCGGAUUCAAAUUCCGGCCGGUCCA
rnacentral:tRNA from 1 species